GGGACAAGGGUGGAAGAAAAUGGAUGGAUGGAUGGAUGAAGCAUGUGACGCAUUAAUAAGGCUUUGUAAUAACAGACGGCAUACCGAGUUUUCAUUUCGACUCU